rnacentral:rRNA from 1 species
GACGAACGCUGGCGGCGUGCUUAACACAUGCAAGUCGAACGGAAAGGCCCUGCUUUUGUGGGGUGCUCGAGUGGCGAACGGGUGAGUAACACGUGAGUAACCUGCCCUUGACUUUGGGAUAACUUCAGGAAACUGGGGCUAAUACCGGAUAGGAGCUCCUGCUGCAUGGUGGGGGUUGGAAAGUUUCGGCGGUUGGGGAUGGACUCGCGGCUUAUCAGCUUGUUGGUGGGGUAGUGGCUUACCAAGGCUUUGACGGGUAGCCGGCCUGAGAGGGUGACCGGCCACAUUGGGACUGAGAUACGGCCCAGACUCCUACGGGAGGCAGCAGUGGGGAAUAUUGCACAAUGGGCGGAAGCCUGAUGCAGCAACGCCGCGUGCGGGAUGACGGCCUUCGGGUUGUAAACCGCUUUCGCCUGUGACGAAGCGUGAGUGACGGUAAUGGGUAAAGAAGCACCGGCUAACUACGUGCCAGCAGCCGCGGUGAUACGUAGGGUGCGAGCGUUGUCCGGAUUUAUUGGGCGUAAAGGGCUCGUAGGUGGUUGAUCGCGUCGGAAGUGUAAUCUUGGGGCUUAACCCUGAGCGUGCUUUCGAUACGGGUUGACUUGAGGAAGGUAGGGGAGAAUGGAAUUCCUGGUGGAGCGGUGGAAUGCGCAGAUAUCAGGAGGAACACCAGUGGCGAAGGCGGUUCUCUGGGCCUUUCCUGACGCUGAGGAGCGAAAGCGUGGGGAGCGAACAGGCUUAGAUACCCUGGUAGUCCACGCUGUAAACGGUGGGUACUAGGUGUGGGGUCCAUUCCACGGGUUCCGUGCCGUAGCUAACGCUUUAAGUACCCCGCCUGGGGAGUACGGCCGCAAGGCUAAAACUCAAAGGAAUUGACGGGGCCCCGCACAAGCGGCGGAGCAUGCGGAUUAAUUCGAUGCAACGCGCAGAACCUUGCCUGGGUUUGACAUGGAUCGGGAGUGCUCAGAGAUGGGUGUGCCUCUUUUGGGGUCGGUUCACAGGUGGUGCAUGGCUGUCGUCAGCUCGUGACGUGAGAUGUUGGGUUAAGUCCCGCAACGAGCGCAACCCUUGUUCACUGUUGCCAGCACGUUAUGGUGGGGACUCAGUGGAGACCGCCGGGGUCAACUCGGAGGAAGGUGGGGAUGACGUCAAGUCAUCAUGCCCCUUAUGUCCAGGGCUUCACGCAUGCUACAAUGGCUGGUACAGGGAGUGGCGAGCCUGUGAGGGUGAGCGAAUCUCGGAAAGCCGGUCUCAGUUCGGAUUGGGGUCUGCAACUCGACCUCAUGAAGUCGGAGUCGCUAGUAAUCGCAGAUCAGCAACGCUGCGGUGAAUACGUUCCCGGG